rnacentral:ncRNA from 1 species
ACGUCUUCGAGCCUUCCUUCCUAAGGCGGACGCUAUGGAAGGACGGCCGUGUUAAGCAAUUAACUCAGGGUUCCGCUGGAAACGGUGCAGCCUUCCUGAUUUGAAAAGGAGAC